rnacentral:rRNA from 1 species
UACAGAGGUGGCAAGCGUUGUUCGGAAUUACUGGGCGUAAAGGGCGCGUAGGCGGCCUUCUAAGUCAGACGUGAAAUCCCCCGGCUUAACCGGGGAACUGCGUCUGAUACUGGAUGGCUAGAGGUUGGGAGAGGGAUGCGGAAUUCCAGGUGUAGCGGUGAAAUGCGUAGAUAUCUGGAGGAACACCGGUGGCGAAGGCGGCAUCCUGGACCAAUUCUGACGCUGAGGAGCGAAAGCCAGGGGAGCAAACGGG